ACGGCCUGCCCUGCCGCCCCGGCCUCGAGGCGGCCCGGGCGCGCCGUCACCAUCCGUCGCAGGUUGAGAGGAUGCUGAAGGGCCUGGAGCGUCUCCGUGCCCAGGAGAGGCUGAGGGAGCUGGGGCUGCCCAGCCUGGUGAGGAGCCCCAGUGAGAGGGGCCCUCAGCCCUGGCUGUCCCAGUCCGUCCCUGGCUGUCCCUGUCUGUGUGUCCCAGUCCGUCCCUGGCUGUCCCUGUGUGCAGGGAGGGGCAGAGCAGGCCCAGGCUCUGCUCCGGGGUCCAGCAGUGGCACCAGAGCCACGGGCAGGGCCUGAGCCCAGCAAUUCCCCCUGCACAGGAGGCAGAGCUGCUGCCCUGGGCAGUGCCAGCCCUGAGCAGAGGCCAGAGAGGCUGUGGGGUCGGAUUCCAGAACAGUCUGGGCUAGUCCUGUGGCACGUGCUCUGGGGUGGCCCUGGCGGAGCAGGGAGGUGGCACCGGCUGAGCCAUCGCGUCCCUCUGGGUUGUGCCCAUCCAGCCUGGCCGGGCUGCUGCGGCCCAAGCCCGGGGAGGGAAGGAGGCGUCGUGUGAGGCGAUGGCCAUGGGGGAGCCUCGCUGGGACAGCCUUUGGCAAACUUGCCACGGGCUGGGACAGCGGCACUGCUAGGGAAUCACACAGGAGCUGUGUGAUUUACGCGCUGCCGCGCUCUGAAAUCCGAAUUCGUCACAGAACCACAGAAUACGCUGAGCUGGAAGGCACCCACCAGGACCAUCGAGUCCAGCUGCUGGCCCUGCACAGGAUAGCCCCAAGAAUCCCUCCGUGUGCCUUCACACUUGGGGUUAACACCCUGAGAACAAGCCCCAGAGGCGGGGCUGUGAUCUUUCUAGUGAGCCCUGUGCACGUGUGGUCACACACAGCUGUGCAGAGCCACUGGACAUCCCACUUCGCAGCAGGAACAUUGGAUCAGGACAAGACCCCACUUGUGGAUCGUGGCACUGCUCAAGAUCUCUUUAACAAACGAGGAUGAAUUCUAAAAAAAAACCCUCUAGGAGUGACAGGCUUUUGUUACUUCAGAAAGACACAAGCAGUUGGAGGAGGAAGUAAAGUGAAAUUCCCUCCAUCGUCAGUGUUCACACCCUCUCUGGUUCAGUGACACACUGGAGUUCAACCUCACAAUGCCAGAAAGGAAAUUUGAUUCCUUGCCUGAAGUAUAGAAGCAGAGAAAAGUUGUCACCAAUUCUUUAGACUUCAUGUAACUUAAGGAUCUCCUGCAUUUUCAGGUGACUGGUGUCCUGACAAUCUGUAUAUGCUGUUUAUCACAAUCCACUUAAGUAGUGUUUAUGAAGAAUUUAGUGACAUUUUAUUGUGUCUCUGAGGCUGCUUUGAGACUUUCUGGCUCAGUGGGACAUAGAAAUCCCCUGCUUGUGGCUGCAAGUCACACCUGGGUUUCGCUGGGUGCUCCCAUGGCAUCUUCACAUCAGUGGUCAUAAGAGUCAGGAAGCCACAAAAUCUUUUUACAUGGAAAUGUAAAUUUAAAAACCAGGAAAUACACAAAACUUGGAAACCAAAGCUGGUGCUUUGGUGUUAAAGAAAGAACUGAGGUACUUUGAGAGCUCCCUGAGACAUGUGUGGCAUCUGUCUCAAGGAAGGAAAGCAAAAAGAGCUGGUUUGGUUUUCCUAUAACAACAUAAUUUUGCCUUCCAAGAGUAGAUAUUUUUUCUCUGAUGGCACAAUUAUUGAAGCAUGUUAUUGAAGCAUGUUGGGAAACAUUCUGAAACGUCACUAAGCCAGGACCAUAUUCAGAAACUCUCAAUUAACUUCAUGGCUGCUUGAGCCAGUCUGCUCCUGCCUAAGAUACACAGCCCCAAACCUGAGCACCUUCCUAUUUCAACACUAUUCAAUUUGUGCCUUUCCACUGACCACUUUUUAGCCAUCACUUAAUAUAAAAAAAUACAACAGCUCCAGAAGAACAACCCACAGACCUGCUCUAAGGGCUGGAUUUGAGUAGGCAGAAGUGUCUGAAGGUUGGAGGAACUGAGUGUAGUGGGACGUGACAAUGCAGCUGGAGACAGAAAUGAUAUCUGAGAGAUACUGGAGGGAGUGAACACAACACAAAGAUCUGUGCAAAGGACACAACAGCUCAAACACAGAGACUUGGGAUCCAGACAGGAGAACUGAACAGGCUGUUGGGCAUCAUUCCCUGCCCUGAAUUCUGGGAGCAAGUGAAGAAGUGGGUAUUGUUUCUCACAAUACAGCCACUGGAAAAAUCAGUAAAAUCACUGCAUUGUAAGAGACGAAACACUUCACACCAGAGGGGAGACAAUUAGCACUCCCAAGCUGAAUAGGUUUAAUUGCACAUGCGUUGUGCUGCUGCUUCAGGUCAAAACUGUGCCCAGAUUCAUUCUAGUACCAGCUCAGGAGCAGUGUCAUGCUUGGGUUUGAUUCAAAUACAAAAUAAUUAAGACAACUAUUGAUGGUUUUACACACAACAUAAUUCAUUAUUUAAUAAAUACAAGUAAGUUAAUCAGCAUUAGGACCACUGGUCUCACAAUGAUCUUUAAGACCCACUAAGCCACCCAGCUCCUGUGCUGAUCAGACACUUCAUCACCUGCCAGCAUUGGUGCCAGUUUCUGUUGAACAGUCAGUGCCACCACCUUGCAGGGAUAACUUCCCAUUUUGUGCUCUCUGCUUUGUUGAAAUCCCUCUCAAUGGCUGAGUUUUCAGACCUAGUUUUGGAUUAAAAGGUGCAAUUCAUUUUUCUGGUUCCAAUACAUUUCCUCCUGAACAGUAACAACCAGUCUAUAAGAAAGUUUUUAAUUGCCACAAUGCCUGGAGAGAGAGGGUAAAAUGUGGCAGGAACAGAGGAGGAGAAGAUGCUCAAAGUUGCUGUGCUUGGCACUAGUUACUUUCUUUGCCCAUGUCUCCUGCAGCACAGGGGAGGUAAUAAACAUGUUCUAAAGCAAGGAAGAGUUUGAUAAGCAGUCCUGUCCCCUGCACACCCCCUGCUCCUGCUGAUCCUGCUAGCAGCAUUUGCCUCAGCUCUGGAAUGCCAGCCACUGAAAUGUGUUGUGAAGUCAUCCCUGCACUGAACUCAGCAGGCAAUCUGUCACUGAAUUCAUUUCUGCCAAGAUUCCAAUCCCGGCUUGUACUUGGGAUCCUGAUAGACCCUCAAAUAAAUAUUAUUCAUUAGUCAUCA